rnacentral:misc_RNA from 1 species
GCAAACUUGGUCAUUUAGAGGAAGUAAAAGUCGUAACAAGGUCUCCGUUGGUGAACCAGCGGAGGGAUCAUUACCGGGUCUAGCGACUGCCCGAACCAUCACACCGUGAACCGUACCCAACCUUUUGCCUACGCUGCGGCGGGCCGCCCGCUGGAGGGGCCCCGGGGCCGAGAGGCCCGGCCCGCCGGAGCGACCCCUGAAAGGACCUCCUGAAGCACUUCUGAGAGGCGCCGAUCGGCCUUCCUACGAAGGUGAUCACAACCCACAGCAAUGGAUCUCUUGGCUCUGGCAUCGAUGAAGAACGCAGC